GUUUUAUUUUGUGCGUUGACUCCGAUUUGGCACAGAUUUGCUCUGGGCGUGAGACAUUCGAUACAAUGUCGCUAGAUGGCACCAAAAUCAUUCUUUCUGUAAGUAUCCAUGGAAACGGAUGGCGCAGGGGAGCUGGUGGAGAAAACGCUGGGCGCACUCGUCAGUGACGUGAUGUUAUCGAUUGAAGGAGAGAGUGGGACCUUGCUGAGGAAAGCGAAGCAUGCACUGGCUGUUCAAGAAGGAAAGGGAAAGAAGAGGGAAGGUAACGUUAGCGAGCGAUGUGCUGCAGGGAGCAUUUCGUCCUUGAAGGGGAACAUUACAUUCGUUGCUGCUGCUGAUGUGUUGGACCCUGGAGUGAGGAGCUGGAGGUUCCCCGUGCCCUCCACCUCCCCGCUGCCACACACACACCCUGGCUACCUCUACCAGACGCCCCCCGGUGUAAAUCCGGCACGUUAGGAGGGGAAUCCUAAUCGCCCAGGCACCAGACAGAGUCUCCAGACAAAGAGGGGUGGAGGAGUGAGGAGAGGAACAUGGAGAGGAGCUCCAUAUUAAUCUGGGGCCUUUGUCAUAUGAAAUGUGUGUUGUUUGUGCUGGGUAGUCCCGUGAAAAAUUGUCUGAUGCCGGUUGCCCGGGGCAGCAGGAAAUGGAAUCGGCAUGGUGACAAUGAGCGAUGGCACCCAGAGAAGGGAGGUGUUUCUUUUUUCUCUCUCUUUUUUUUCUGCUCGCUUUCUUUUAGCCGGACCGGUAUGGAUUUUUCUGUAGUGGCUACAACCAUUGAUCGUGUGGCCUAGCUCACUCAUAUAUCCACACUUUCUAAUUUCACUUUCCUUUGACGACUUUGGUCCAUAACACACUGUUUAUCACAAAAGGUCUGUACUGCUAUUAAAGAACCUAAGGAACGCUGGACUUUGUCAUGGAUCAAUAAACGUCACAACUCCUAUGCUUGCCAUCAGGCUAGGGCUCCCGAGUGGCGCAGCGUUCUAAGGCACUGCAUUUCAGUGAUAGAGGCGUCACUACAGACCCUGGUUCGAUUCCAGGCUGUAUCACAACCCGGCCGUGAUUGGGAGACCCAUAGGGCGGCGGACAAUUGGCCCAGUGUCGUUUGGGUUUGGCCGGGGUAGGCCGUCAUUGUAAAUAAGAAUUUGUUCUUAACUGACUUGCCUAGUUAAAGAAAGGUUAAAGAAAAAUAAAAUUAUAAAAAUCAGAUGUCCUCACACAUAGAGCCUUAUAGACACAUAGACUUACCCAAUUCGAUAAAAGUAGCAAAUAGUAGGCUUUAGUUCAGAAAAAGGAAACCCUGAAUGUCUAUUCAAAGCCUAGCGUCUCCUUUUGCAACCUGUAUCUCAAUAUACAUUUUAGUAUUUCCAGUAUAGGGAUAGUAAUCUACAGGCCAUGGAUGUAAAGCUAUCUUUAGCUCUGAAUAAAUAACACGCUAUUCCCUGCAUGGAUUUUCACCCCUGCCUUUCUCACCAUGUAAUCUCCUGAAAAUGAGGUGAUGAAUCAGACAAUGAUUUCCUGUCUCUCGUCCUCCACUCCCCUCCCCGUCCCCCGUCCCAUCUAUAGCCAUGGUGUGAGCAGGUAGACUCAAUGACCACUCUGCAUCACAAUGACAUUUGUGCUGGAGGGGAUCAGCCAGGGGUUUGUGUUUGUGGGGAAGAGUUAUUUAUUUCUUUCAGAUGUAGCGGUGACGGGCCUUCCAGGUUGGAAUUUGGAGGUGGGGAUUUUACAGGAUUGUAUUCUUUCGAAGAUUUAUCCCAAUCCUAAUCUCAUAGUUUGCAGGGGUCAGCACACUAUAGUCCCUACAUGUGCUAGGCACCAGGCCUGACAGUAUUUCACAUGGCACGUCUCCCCUCCCUUUUCCCUCUUCCUCACCUCUCCCUCAGCAAUACAUACUCUACAGUAUAUUUCUCUAGAGGGCAGUUCCCAUUGAGCUACCAAUGUGGUAAGAAAGGAGAUCAAGACAUCCAUUUCCAAGCCCCUAAGGGACACUGUGUGAGUUUGUGAUGGGACUUUGAUGCCACUGAUCCCAGUCACAGGGCUGCACUGAGCGAGGUAGCUGGCUCCCCACCGUACUGCUGUAAUUGGCCCAUUAAAAGCCAUGGAGAGUAAUUGGGUUGUGUUAAAACACAUGUUCUCCACGUAUUUACCGCCUGAAGCAAGGUCACAAUCAAUGCAGAUGAAUGACAGCUGAUGACAGGCUAGGCAGCAGGUCUCUGAGUUGGGUUACGGUAGAGUACGGAUCAUCAACUAGAUUCAAUCACGGGCCGAUUUUUUUCUUGAGCGGAUGGUCAGGGGGCUGGAACAUAAUUACAAAUCAUUUCUUGACUGCAAAUUGAACGCAAGAAGCCCAUACAGGUAUAACUAUAUUUGACUAAAACAUAAUCAUUUCAAACCUCGCUUGGUAUAUGAUCGCAUACACUGAGUGUACAAAACAUUAGGAACACUUUCCUAAUAUUGAGUUGCACCCCGCUUUUGCCCUCAGAACAGCCUCAAUUUGUCAGGGCAUGGACUCUACAAGGUGUUGAAAGCAUUUCACAGGGAUGCUGGCUCAUGUUGACUCCAACGCUUCCCACAGUUGUGUCAAGUUGGCUGGAUGUCCUUUGGGUGGUGGACCAUGCUUCAUACACACGGGAAACUGUUGAGUGUGAAAAACCCAGCAGCGUUGAAGUUCUUGACACACUCAAACCGGCGCCUGGCACUAGUGCUGCGCAAUUAACCAACAUUUCUGUUAUUUUUUGGUUUUUAAACAACUAAUUGACCGAAGUCGGUUCAAUUAUUUGAAUUCCAUUUCAUUCUGUUUUUUCUGUGAGCUCAAUGCGCACAUUGCAGCGUUUCUCUAGAGGUAAAUCAGAUCCAGCCUGAACUGUGCAAUGUAGUAGAGAGUUGUAGUUUCCAACAGGCUUAUAUUCUACAUAGUUUAGCGCAUACGUGGUAAUUAACUACAAUGACCAUAAUCCGUUGCGAAUCUACUUUUCCGGUCUGUGUUUCUUUUACGCCUGCUACGAUAGACGAAUGCACCAACACAAGGUGAUAUAGAGAGCAGCUUUUGCUUUGAGGUAUCUCUAGCUGAAAAUAUAUGAUUUAAUUGAUCGAUAUGGUGACACCCUGAUCUGUUUCACCUGUUUAUUUUGCUUGUCUCCACCCCCCUCCAGGUGUCGCCCAUCUGCCCCAUUUUCCCCUGUGUAUUUGUACCCGUGUUCUGUCUGUUGCCAGUUCGUCUUGUCAAGCCUACCAGCGGUCUUCCUGUACUCCUGUUUUUGCUGUAGUCCCUGUUUUCAAUUUUUCCUGGUUUUGACUAUUCUGACGGCCCUGAUUCUGCCUGCCGUUCUGUACCUUUCAGACUCUGCUCUGGAUUACUGACCUCUGCCUGCCCUGAUUCUGCCUGCCGUUCUGUACCUUUCAGACUCUGCUCUGGAUUACUGACCUCUGCCUGCCCUUGACCUGUCGUUUGCCUGCCCUGUUUUUGUAAUACAUUUUUGUUACUUUGAACUGUCUGCAUCUGGGUCUUAUCCUGAGGUCUGAUAGUUGGUUUUCAGCAGUUAUAAAAGCAUGCCUUAUUUACUUUGAAGAACUACAAAUUAGUGAUUUUUGUCAGAAAGUAUAGGUAGCAGCUCUAUAGAGAUAAGGUAACGACUUGGAAUGAAAUCAAAUAAAACGAAAUAUUUUUGUAAGCAGUAAUGGGCAGUCACUACCCUCAUGGGACUCGUAUUAAUUGUUUUAUUAUAUGUUACAACAUCCAACUCCAUAAUGCAUAGUGUGCACAAACACAAUGUCUCAAUUGUCUCAAGGCUUAAAAAUCCUAUUAACUUGUCCCGGGCCCACCUCCUC
rnacentral:lncRNA from 8 species